rnacentral:pre_miRNA from 17 species
GGAGAAAGGGAGAAUUCGGUUCACACUCUGCGUGUUCACAGCGCACCUUGAUUUCAUAUUAUACAAUUAAGGCACGCGGUGAAUGCCAAGGGAGGAAUCGAAAAUAAGCUAUCUGGGA